UACAGAGGUCCCAAGCGUUGUUCGGAUUCACUGGGCGUAAAGGGUGCGUAGGUGGUUGGGUAAGUUUGAUGUGAAAUCUCCGGGCUUAACCCGGCAACUGCAUUGAAUACUAUCUGGCUAGAGGGUUGGAGGGGGGACUGGAAUACUUGGUGUAGCAGUGAAAUGCGUAGAUAUCAAGUGGAACACCAGUGGCGAAGGCGAGUCUCUGGACAUUUCCUGACGCUGAGGCACGAAAGCCAGGGGAGCAAACGGG
rnacentral:rRNA from 1 species